GGUCGACGUAUUCGUUGUUCGAACUUACGAGCUGUAAAAUAAUUUAGCGAUGUGUGCGUGACGACGCUGCACGUGCAAAGUUGCGUGAGGACGCGUGGUACCGUUAGCCGCGAUACUAUUUCUCGUGUCCAUAAGUGCAGCGUUACCUAAACUUUAUUACUUACUGGUAUAUCCCCCUCCGUCAACCGUGACGAACGGCUUUGAUAAACCAUUUCUGUAUUUCUGUUUAUUCGCGUGGAAAUCUUUAUUCAGCGAACUUCCUUGCAAACUUGUUUCUUUGUGAAAUGUUCCAUUGUGUGCCAAAUGAAUAUUCAUAAACAUGGAAGUCUGAAUUUUUAUUAUCAUACCUGUGGGAAAAUUAUGUAACUCGAGAUAUCUCGUUGUUGAGAGCAAAAGGUGUACUGUUUCUAGAAGGACAUACAUUAUUGGGAGGUUGCUGUUCGAAGUGAUUCUAGAUUUUUGCAAAAAUGAAUGGUUUUUCUGUAUCAAUUUAAACUAAUGUAACAAAAUUUCAUAUUUCUUUCGUUGGCAUAUUGUUUUGUCUUGUGGAAAGGAAUGAUAAUAACACGAAACAAGUUGAGGAAGAUGCAUACCUGCUAAAUGGACUAUUAUACCUUUGAAAUUAAUGGGGGAUAUUUUUACCUGUAAUUGCAGUAUAAUAAUUGUCACUAAAAAUCAGGCAUGAAGAGUCCUAGAAUGAACUAUUGUACAUUCAUCACAAUAAAAGUUAACCUCUUGAGGGAUACAGACACAUGUGUAUACACUUGCUUUUAUAUUCAAAUUAUCAUUACUUACGAUCACAAUACCUUUUAGAAGUAAAACAUAUGCCAUAUUAAAGCGAAACAGCAAAUUAAUAUGUUAAAAUCGAUUUACAGAAAAAAAUUGCUUUAAUUUGUGUGUAUCCAAUCACAAGAGAGGUUAACUAUUUCUUUGAUACCAACUAACUCCUCAUCCGCAAAAUGAAAUAAAAUUGAAGAAGUUACUAGGAAAACAAAAACUGUAGAAUUCCGUAUUACUUUAUGUUUGCCAUCUCCGGUCCUGAUCAACGUUUAACCGGUAUAUCGAUGAUUUUAUGUAACGUAUGCAAGUACACUUGUCGCAAGAAAGUUCCACGCGACGUGCAACGCGGAGGUUGAGGUGGAUCGUGAGUUUCGUGCGAAAGUUAUCGCUGGGAGACAGGAAGAGGCACGAUUUCCAUCGACGCGACAGGCAUUGACACUUAAGCCGAUCGUAAGUCAUCGUUAGGUCCGAGUUGUCCGAGAUCGCGCGGCGCAGAGAUACCGGUAAUCCGUGAUUCCCAGCGCGUUUAGCGUCGUGGGUGGUACCGUUACCUGGAUGUGAGACGUGAGUUGGGGCUCACUCAUGCUAUCGACUUUCCGUGGCAGGAAAGGUGGUGAAAAGUAUUGUCCUACAGUCGAGGAGCUAUCGACCAGGUCAUGUGGACUAUAAGAGGAUUAACAACGGCAAUGGCAAACGAUACACGCGUCUACGCGAGCGUAGAAUUUUUUAAUGCGACGCAAGGGUCUAAUGUAGGAAACAAUUAUGCAAAAGUGAGAUAACUGCCAGCGUGGCGCACCGCACCGUGAUAACGCAUAAAUUUCACCCAGAAACAGCGGGGCAUCCUCGAUCCACCUACGAAGAAAUCCAGCUGGAACACCUAAUAAAAACCCGGCGAAAUGGGAUCGCGAUACACCGGCCGGCAACAAAGGAGGCAGCAUCGCGACGAGGUUGCGCGCUAGCCUCGCCGUCUGUGGACUCGCAUACAACCUCGUCUCCCCGGGCACCGUCGGUGUGUGCAUGCGUGGCCGACAUCGUCAUCGAUCAUCCGGCGUCACGGUAGGGUGCGUACGACCGUAGGUAUAUCAACAGGGGAUCGCAUCUUUCUUCCUCAUUUUUUGCCAGUCGAGCGUACUACCUCCCUCGCCCCUCCCGUCCUCCUGCUUCGGCUUUCGACUCCCGCCACCGCGGCCAGUCUUCCGGUUACCGCGACUUCCGGUUGGCGGUCGUACAGUACCGCCUCGUGCCACCUCGCUUCCGGUCGGUCGGGGUAGAACGACGUUACCAUGGCUACCAGGCCUCCUGGCUACACCCCCCGGGCACACCCUCGACAACAUGGCCGCCCUCGUCCUACCCUUGUCUCUUUGCCUCACCCCCGAGACCCGCGUCAUCCACUCCCCCGUCUUUAUAUACAACAUAUUCCCUGUGAACUCGUGUCAAGGAUCCUAGGGGCUGUUUCCACGGACAGAGGGGCGGGGAGGCGAGAAUACCCACAGUGGUCAGAAACCCCAUGGGGCAUGACGUAUCGUGGAAGGACCCUCGACCCUACGAGUGCCACUCGUCUUCCACUGUGUCGGCGAUAUAUAGUGCCUCUGUACACUUCGUAGGGCAUCAUGGUUGCGCGUACACGCCAGGAUUCUACAGGAUCCUUCAUGGCCAGGGUGAUGGCUGGCGAUUUUUCAGUGUCGUGGGACGUCGGUUUUCGAUGUAACGUUGCCGCGGAAUGCCGAAGGGAUGAAUGCGUGAAUGUGUUCGGGACUGACGGUGGUCGCUUUUGUGUCCGAGGGGAGGGAAGGGCGAGUCGGAGCAUCGCGUGGCUACGUAUCUUGUCCCUGCGAUUCGCAUCGGGUCUCGAACUGCCCAGGGAUGCCGAAGUCUGUCCUCCAUGGUGUUGGACGUUGGAUGGAAUUUUGCUACAAUCGUAGAUAACGAAUGGAAGCGAAGUUACUACGAUUUAUUUGGGAUGUUUUGUCGAUUUCUGUGGGUUAGUAAGAGCAGAAUUUGUAUUUUGGUUACUCUAAGCAAUAAUAUUUAUUUGAUUUUCAAAUAAACAUUUCAUUGCAAAUACAAACAAGUGUAAAGUUUGUUCAUGUACAUGUUUAUAAUGAAACAUUUAUUUGAAAAUAUCAAACCUAUCACGUGAUUUAGACAAAUUUUUUUUAAUAUACGUAGAAGAUACGAAUAUUUAUGGGACUGACUGUAGCACAUACAUGGACAAUUUUCUCAAGUUUGUUUAACAAUAAGAGGAAUACUCUUGAUUGUAGUUUACCAAUCAUUGUUCACACAAGAAGAAGAACAGAAAUACUUGAAGUUUCUUCUUGUUUAUUAAAUAUUAGAAGUGUAGAACUGUUUUGCUUCGCCGCUUAGAUAUCAAGGUUAUUACCUGAGGAGGUCUUGAUUAAAACAGAAACUACCCUCAUAAGACAGUUGUUUGUCUUGCAUUCGCUAUCUAAAUAAGAAUUUUAAACUUAUUACCUAUAUUAGCUACAUUACAAAACCAAGCCUUAUGGGAAAUAUGAAAUAUUACCAACCUAAAGAAAUCGUGGCAACACGUAUAAAGAUCAAUGAACUCCUAUAAAACACAAUUUCAAAAAUUCAAUCAUCACAUUUGCUUUCUGCUGUUGGCAUUUAAGUACCACGCCUCCCAAGUUAAAAUCAAUUCCUUCCAAUCCACUCUUAGUUUAACCGUAGCACCUGCAAAUUUACAUCUCCACGAUGGUCUAAUUGUAUUGAUACCGCCAAAAUUCAACCUGGACAACAAAGGGGAACCCCACUCGAGAACUUCGGUAGUUGCCACCACAUGGAAACGUAAUUUGUAAAUCUUCGCCGCGUCCUGGAUCCUUUCGCGUUCGCGUUUUUAAUUGCUCCGUCGAGCAGCGAGAUUCUCGCUACGAUGGCUCGCGUUAAGUAUAAUCAGCCUUUGUCUGGUCAACGUAACUUUCGUUCAGGGUUAUUUUCGCGGACUUUUUUAGGCAGGUUUCGCAAAGUGUGCUCGUUGCACGGCUACACGGGGGCAGACGAGUCCGUUCCGUCUGAAUCAGCCUGCACACACAAGCAGGGAAAGAGCUCGUAUUGAUCCGCUCAAAUCCCCAUAGAAAUUAACUCGAGAACACUCGGCUGCCCCUUUCGCCGAGCCACCGUUCCAGACACGAGCACUCGUUAGAACAUUCAUUAAUUAGCCGUAAUCGAAGCCGGUUUUACUGACGCGGAAUAGAAAUUCGCUGGUACCGUCGGGAUAUCCCUCCAGAAAUUAAAAAAAAAAAGAAAAAUGAACAAGAGAGCGAGAGGGGGAAACUUAGUCAUUCUCCUCGCGGAAACCAUUCUUCCAACUCGCGCGUUUCGGGACUCUAACGCUCUUAAUUAUCUUAGUGGACUCGCUCGGAAAUCUCACUUUCGAUUCUGGUUGGGCACAGUGCGCGGCGAAUAAUUGCAAUUGAGGCGGGAGACUUGGGACUGGGACGCAAUUAAAAUGUACCUAUAUAGGACACGCUUUGAAUAAAUGUACCUAUAUAGGACACGCUUUGAAUAAAUGUAGUAGUGUACCUAGAAUCGUAUUGGGAUUAUCUAUACCCAGAUUCGUGUUUCUAUUGCUUGAAAUCAUUUAAAUUGUUUUCUUUAUAGCAGAAGUACUUGUGAAAGUUAUUAAAUGGAUACUAAUACUUCCACCUCUCUGUUUAUUCAUAGAUUUAGACUUAACAUGUAGGCUAUUGUUUUUUGGGAUUGUUGUAUCUUUUGGUCCAGUCUUGCACAUGUUUUGUUUUCCAUGUCACAUUUCCAUUGUUUUAUAUCAAUCCUUAAUUUCUUAUAAUGUUUUAAAUUAUUUCUCAACAUCUUACAUUACAUUCUUUGACAUCUCUAAUGGGAACCACUGGCCCUUUUACAGGUCGGGUACCUCGGGAUCGCUAAGCCCGUACUAUAGCUGCGUACACGCAUGCUAUAGCCCCUGAGGACUGUUUAUUCAUAUCUUGUAGACAUUCAGUAAUUUGCGAUGAAAAGAAUUGGUGUAAAAAGAAAUUUUCGUAUCCUACCAUUAGGUUGUCCCAAAAAUGCCUAAUUUCUUAGACGUUGAUGUUGUAACAGUAAUGGAGCAAUAUGGAAUUCAAUAAUGUAGCAUUAGACAUAAAAUAUUGUGCAUGUAUUACUUAUUAAUGAAAUGGAAGAAACAUUUGAACUUUCUCCGAACCCAUUCCGCGAUAAAUAUUUCCCAAUUACUUAACUCUUACGAAACAUCCCUUGUUCGUUUCUUACGAAGAGAAAUUCUUCCCCGAUUAUUCGUUUCGCUCGAGUUCAACCGAGACGUUUAUUAAGAGGUUUCUACGCUAUCCAGGUAUAAAACGAGCUCUCUUAAAUGCAUUCAGCGAUCGCUAAAACCUCCAACUCCUCGCGACACCCCCGCGAUUCGCAUCAAUGACCGAACGCGAGGUUCUCGUAGCGCCAAGGUAUUUCGUCGCGGCUGCUUAAGAUUCAUCUUGAAUUACGAUCUUGGCGCCGUCGAAAGAUCAGCCGAGCAGCUUGAACCCUUGAAAAUCCCCGAUGG